AUUGAACGCUGGCGGCAUGCCUUACACAUGCAAGUCGAACGGCAGCACGGGGGGCAACCCUGGUGGCGAGUGGCGAACGGGUGAGUAAUGCAUCGGAACGUGCCCAGUAGUGGGGGAUAACUAGUCGAAAGAUUAGCUAAUACCGCAUACGACCUAUGGGUGAAAGCGGGGGAUUCGCAAGAACCUCGCGCUAUCGGAGCGGCCGAUGUCUGAUUAGCUAGUUGGCGGGGUAAAAGCCCACCAAGGCUUCGAUCAGUAGCUGGUCUGAGAGGACGACCAGCCACACUGGGACUGAGACACGGCCCAGACUCCUACGGGAGGCAGCAGUGGGGAAUUUUGGACAAUGGGCGCAAGCCUGAUCCAGCCAUGCCGCGUGCGGGAAGAAGGCCU
rnacentral:rRNA from 1 species